UACGUAGGGUGCAGGCGUUAAUCGGAAUUACUGGGCGUAAAGCGUGCGCAGGCGGUUUGCUAAGACAGGUGUGAAAUCCCCGGGCUUAACCUGGGAACUGCGCUUGUUACUGGCAGGCUUGAGUGUGGCAGAGGGGGGUGGAAUUCCACGUGUAGCAGUGAAAUGCGUAGAGAUGUGGAGGAACACCGAUGGCGAAGGCAGCCCCCUGGGCUAACACGUGACGCUCGAUG
rnacentral:rRNA from 1 species